GACGAACGCUGGCGGCGUGCCUAAUACAUGCAAGUAGAACGCUGAAGCUUGGUGCUUGCACCGAGCGGAUGAGUUGCGAACGGGUGAGUAACGCGUAGGUAACCUGCCUGGUAGCGGGGGAUAACUAUUGGAAACGAUAGCUAAUACCGCAUAAGAGUAGAUGUUGCAUGACAUUUGCUUAAAAGGUGCAAUUGCAUCACUACCAGAUGGACCUGCGUUGUAUUAGCUAGUUGGUGAGGUAACGGCUCACCAAGGCGACGAUACAUAGCCGACCUGAGAGGGUGAUCGGCCACACUGGGACUGAGACACGGCCCAGACUCCUACGGGAGGCAGCAGUAGGGAAUCUUCGGCAAUGGACGGAAGUCUGACCGAGCAACGCCGCGUGAGUGAAGAAGGUUUUCGGAUCGUAAAGCUCUGUUGUGAGAGAAGAACGAGUGUGAGAGUGGAAAGUUCACACUGUGACGUAUCUUACCAGAAACGGACG
rnacentral:rRNA from 1 species